AGGGAAGAGGCCUCUCGGCUCUCUCGGGGCGGGAAUCAGUGGGCCAGGUGGCCGCAAGUACGCGGGCCGAGCCUGCAGCGCGCGGAGCAGGAAGGCAGGGAAUCCGGCUGACACAGUGUCCUGGGUUCCCAGGGCACCUCCUCUGCUCUGAGGAUGGGCUUGGAGGCCGCGGAGCAGUGAGGAGCGCAGAAAACCGUGGCGGAGGGCGAGGCCGGGCCACCGACUCUCCAAGCUCGGAAUGGAUAAGGAAGAGCGCGGAGGGCUGGCUGGGAGGAACUCGGAAAGCGUUUGAUUUAUGAGCGUAGGACGAAUCGCAUCCAAGAGCUGCGCAGCUCUGGCCGCAGCCGGGACGCCCUGCUCCUCGCUGAGCUUGGGGCCGGAAACCAGCCAUAGUCCCUACACUCCGCCGCCCGCCGCAGCUGGGAUUUAGUGGAGGAAGGGGCAAGGGAAGGCAGGGAGCAAAUCUAUGAAGAAACAUCGAGUUUUCAUUGGAACUUUCAAGCCUUUGCUGAUAAGAGCUGGGUUCUUAAACCAACCCGCCCCACACGCAUGUUGUUUACAUGCUGCAUUUUCUCACGGUAAGAACAGAGCCUAGAAAGGGAAAAAUAAACAUGGGGAUACCUAAGAAGGGAGGGGGGGGGAAGCAACAACCCAGUUACACAACCUAGAUCACGUUUUAUUGAUAUCAUUUAAAGUGCUUUUCUUUCUAGAAACUGUCUUAAUUUAUAACCUAGGGUGUAGAAACACACCAUUUUAAAUCUCAACUUGCUAACCUGGCUUCGAAGCCUUAGUGAUCCAUUAUUAGCAAUGUAAACAGUUUUAAGAAUGAAAUAUUGAUUUUUCUGACCCGGAAAAAAAAAA